rnacentral:rRNA from 1 species
AGUAAUGUAUGGGGAUCUGCCUGAUGGCGGGGGAUAACUACUGGAAACGGUAGCUAAUACCGCAUAACGUCGCAAGACCAAAGAGGGGGACCUUCGGGCCUCUUGCCAUCGGAUGUGCCCAGAUGGGAUUAGCUAGUAGGUGGGGUAAUGGCUCACCUAGGCGACGAUCCCUAGCUGGUCUGAGAGGAUGACCAGCCACACUGGAACUGAGACACGGUCCAG